GGUCUGGUGGUCUAGUGGUAUGAUUCUCGCUUAGGGACAACCCUGAUGCACAGCUUGCGAGAGGUCCCGGGUUCAAUCCCCGGCCAGACCC
rnacentral:tRNA from 1 species